rnacentral:rRNA from 1 species
GAUCAUGGCUCAGGACGAACGCUGGCGGCGUGCUUAACACAUGCAAGUCGAGCGGAAAGGCCCUUUCGGGGGUACUCGAGCGGCGAACGGGUGAGUAACACGUGAGUAAUCUGCCCUUGGCUUUGGGAUAACUACCGGAAACGGUGGCUAAUACCGGAUACGACUGCUCCCGGCAUCGGGGGUGGUGGAAAGUUUUUCGGCCAGGGAUGUGCUCGCGGCCUAUCAGCUUGUUGGUGGGGUAAUGGCCUACCAAGGCUUCGACGGUAGCCGGCCUGAGAGGGUGACCGGCCACACUGGGACUGAGACACGGCCCAGACUCCUACGGGAGGCAGCAGUGGGGAAUAUUGGACAAUGGGCGGAAGCCUGAUCCAGCAACGCCGCGUGAGGGAUGACGGCCUUCGGGUUGUAAACCUCUUUCAGUACCGACGAAGCGCCGAUGAUGGUGGUGACGGUAGGUACAGAAGAAGCACCGGCCAACUACGUG